GACGAACGCUGGCGGCGUGCCUAAUACAUGCAAGUCGAGCGAGACUCUUCGGAGUCUAGCGGCGGACGGGUGAGUAACACGUGGGCAACCUACCUGUAAGACUGGGAUAACACCGGGAAACCGGUGCUAAUACCGGAUAAUCCUUUUCCUCUCAUGAGGAAAAGCUGAAAGUCGGUUUCGGCUGACACUUACAGAUGGGCCCGCGGCGCAUUAGCUAGUUGGUGAGGUAACGGCUCACCAAGGCGACGAUGCGUAGCCGACCUGAGAGGGUGAUCGGCCACACUGGGACUGAGACACGGCCCAGACUCCUACGGGAGGCAGCAGUAGGGAAUCUUCCACAAUGGACGAAAGUCUGAUGGAGCAACGCCGCGUGAGCGAUGAAGGCCUUCGGGUCGUAAAGCUCUGUUGUUAGGGAAGAACAAGUACCGGAGUAACUGCCGGUACCUUGACGGUACCUAACCAGAAAGCCACGGCUAACUACGUGCCAGCCGCCGCAGUAAUAC
rnacentral:rRNA from 1 species